rnacentral:rRNA from 1 species
UCUGGUAUUGAUUGGUGCUUGCAUCAUGAUUUACAUUUGAGUGAGUGGCGAACUGGUGAGUAACACGUGGGAAACCUGCCCAGAAGCGGGGGAUAACACCUGGAAACAGAUGCUAAUACCGCAUAACAACUUGGACCGCAUGGUCCGAGUUUGAAAGAUGGCUUCGGCUAUCACUUUUGGAUGGUCCCGCGGCGUAUUAGCUAGAUGGUGGGGUAACGGCUCACCAUGGCAAUGAUACGUAGCCGACCUGAGAGGGUAAUCGGCCACAUUGGGACUGAGACACGGCCCAAACUCCUACGGGAGGCAGCAGUAGGGAAUCUUCCACAAUGGACGAAAGUCUGAUGGAGCAACGCCGCGUGAGUGAAGAAGGGUUUCGGCUCGUAAAACUCUGUUGUUAAAGAAGAACAUAUCUGAGAGUAACUGUUCAGGUAUUGACGGUAUUUAACCAGAAAGCCACGGCUAACUACGUGCCAGCAGCCGCGGUAAUACGUAGGUGGCAAGCGUUGUCCGGAUUUAUUGGGCGUAAAGCGAGCGCAGGCGGUUUUUUAAGUCUGAUGUGAAAGCCUUCGGCUCAACCGAAGAAGUGCAUCGGAAACUGGGAAACUUGAGUGCAGAAGAGGACAGUGGAACUCCAUGUGUAGCGGUGAAAUGCGUAGAUAUAUGGAAGAACACCAGUGGCGAAGGCGGCUGUCUGGUCUGUAACUGACGCUGAGGCUCGAAAGUAUGGGUAGCAAACAGGAUUAGAUACCCUGGUAGUCCAUACCGUAAACGAUGAAUGCUAAGUGUUGGAGGGUUUCCGCCCUUCAGUGCUGCAGCUAACGCAUUAAGCAUUCCGCCUGGGGAGUACGGCCGCAAGGCUGAAACUCAAAGGAAUUGACGGGGGCCCGCACAAGCGGUGGAGCAUGUGGUUUAAUUCGAAGCUACGCGAAGAACCUUACCAGGUCUUGACAUACUAUGCAAAUCUAAGAGAUUAGACGUUCCCUUCGGGGACAUGGAUACAGGUGGUGCAUGGUUGUCGUCAGCUCGUGUCGUGAGAUGUUGGGUUAAGUCCCGCAACGAGCGCAACCCUUAUUAUCAGUUGCCAGCAUUAAGUUGGGCACUCUGGUGAGACUGCCGGUGACAAACCGGAGGAAGGUGGGGAUGACGUCAAAUCAUCAUGCCCCUUAUGACCUGGGCUACACACGUGCUACAAUGGAUGGUACAACGAGUUGCGAACUCGCGAGAGUAAGCUAAUCUCUUAAAGCCAUUCUCAGUUCGGAUUGUAGGCUGCAACUCGCCUACAUGAAGUCGGAAUCGCUAGUAAUCGCGGAUCAGCAUGCCGCGGUGAAUACGUUCCCGGGCCUUGUACACACCGCCCGUCACACCAUGAGAGUUUGUAACACCCAAAGUCGGUGGGGUAACCCUUUUUC